AUGGUGGUAGGGGCUCUGCAGUCCGUUAGAGACUCUAGGGAUUUGAAGUACCCAAGGUCAAGAGCGUUCAAGUCAGGAGAAUUUGGGGGUUGUUGCACUAGUUUGAUGUCCAUACCGGUCUCAGCCAUUGCUUCUGCAAACUCAACAUCAUUAGGUAAAAUAUGUGUCCUUGCAUUGUCCUGUUGGAUGAGGACUGUUUGUCCAACAUCUCCAAAGGGCCACACAUCUUUUAUUGCAGGAACAACUUUCUCAAUCAUGUAUCAUCUCAUGACUUCUCUGUUCACCAUGAGUGACUUGAAUUCUAUGACACCUCGUUCUUUAUUUUCACUCCUUCUUUAUGUCACAACUGUUGUGACGAAAGGCCAAACCCCAAUCUUUCCUGAGAAUGUGACAUUCCCGUCAGCGUCGUAUCUGGGCCUUGCAACUGCUGUGAGAAACAUCACCUUUCCAAUCUUGUUUGGAACUGGCCUUACUGGGUCUUCUUCAUCUGGCAUUAGGGUUGUCUGGUCCAGCAUCGACAUGCAAAAUCGAACCCUUUCUCUCUUAUUCUUCUCUUUCAAAGGCGGCUUCACCCUGUUGGAGUGCCUCCUUAUCAUUAAGCUGGAAUUUCCUGUGGAGUGUGGAGCGGCUGACACCCAAUGCAGCAGCAAGUGA
rnacentral:rRNA from 1 species